UAUAAUCAAGUGAGGCUACCGAACGUUGGAAACAGCGGUUAGGAGCUUACACCCACCCGUGUUUACAUACUAUUGUUGUUUUGGCGGGCCGUGGCCUCCACUGCGGGCUCUGCUCGUGUGUGCCCGCCAGAGGACCAAACUCUGAAUGUUAGUGAUGUCUGAGUACUAUCUAAUAGUUAAAACUUUCAACAACGGAUCUCUUGGUUCUGGCAUCGAUGAAGAACGCAGCGAAAUGCGAUAAGUAAUGUGAAUUGCAGAAUUCAGUGAAUCAUCGAAUCUUUGAACGCACAUUGCGCCCUGUGGUAUUCCGCAGGGCAUGCCUGUUCGAGCGUCAUUUAACCACUCACGCCUAGCGUGGUAUUGGGGCGCGCGGUCUCCGCGGCCCUCAAAAUUAGUGGCGGCGCCGGUGGGCUCUAAGCGUAGUACAUACUCCCGCUAUAGAGUUCCCCCGGUGGCUCGCCAGAACCCCCAAUUUUUUUACAGGUUGACCUCGGAUCAGGUAGGAAGCGAGUCA
rnacentral:rRNA from 1 species